rnacentral:lncRNA from 1 species
CAAAACUGGAUCUGCCGUCGCUCAAGUGUGCGGGUGAAGGGGGCAGGUGGGUUGGAGGACUAGGGUUUGGAGUGGUGGAGCUUUGGAGCGGAGAUUUUAAAAACACUAUUAAAAUCCUGGAGAUUUAUCCAGGGGGACGAUGGUGUAGACUAGAAAAGUUAUGCAUGUAUUAUCGGCUGGUUUGGCCUGGGUCAGUUGAGCAUGCAGGACUCUCCGAUCCCUCAAACAAUGAUC